UACGUAGGGGGCAAGCGUUGUCCGGAUUUAUUGGGCGUAAAGCGCACGCAGGCGGUCUGCCAAGUUCGGAGUGACAGUUUCCGGCUUAACCGGAAAAGGUCUUCGAAAACUGGUGGACUUGAGGACUUGAGGGGGAGACGGAAUUCCGGGUGGAGCGGUGAAAUGCGUAGAGAUUUGGAGGAACACCAGUGGCGAAGGCGACUUUCUGGUCUGCAACUGACACUGUAAAACGAAAGCCAGGGGAGCAAACGGG
rnacentral:rRNA from 1 species